AAGAGAUGCAAAAUCUUGCAAGGAUAAAAGUAACGUCUCUUGAUAUGAAUUUUGGCAGAGAAACAAUGUAGAAAAAAGUAAAUCUCCUUUGCGACGAGUCGAUAGGAAAUGGCCAGUGGUUUAUGAAGCAUCCCCAAGGGAAACGGGGAAUCCCAGACGUCGUGGGAGUCCUUCCAAAACUGAGCUCCCAUCCUGAGGAAUGUCUAUGUAACGUUUUGCGUUUAUAGUCGAUCUAUAAAUAAUAUCCGCGCAAUGAAGUGUCCCGGCAUCCACUAAUGCGCGGUGCACGAGCGAAUGAAAACGUGGUUAGUUAAUAAGUCUUUUACGAUUGCGCAAAUGCCUCGAGAAAAUAAUGAAAUCCCCAUUGCCUGACAACCGAGUACAAAUGAGUCAUUAAGGGCAGCCGCAACUGAUAAUAUACAAACUGGUCAGUAGCGGCAUUAUGAUUUUAUCCGAAAGCGUGAUGGCAGCUAAGCUUUUCAAAGUUUCCCACAACAUAUAAUAUACAAGCGAGCGUGCAUGUACGAGGCAACGCGGGCAGUAGGGAGAAGUUUGUGAAGUGUACUUCGUCCGUACGAAGUUGAGAACCGUCUUGCUGAAACACUUGGGACUGGACAAGAGUGGUAAGGCGGUAACUCCACUCUUUGUAACUUUACGAAGGGGGGACGACCCAGGUUCCACGAGCUGCGGCCUUUUAUUUCUGGCUUACACUCAGGACUCUUUCGGUCUCUCACUCUCGUUAGUCAACCGACACACCGCUCAUUAGCAAUUCUAAGUUCAGCCAUUAUCCAGAGAACAGUUAUCCGCGAGUUUACCGAUCGGCCGAUCGAGGAACAAGCCCGUCGGGCCCGUCGAAACCGACGAGCGUCUUUUCACGACUUUCCUUCAUGUAAGGCAAGACCACGGAGUUGAUAUAAGAAAUCACAUUAAGAAUGACAGAAGAAAACGAAUAAAAACAGAGACUCUCCUCAAAAUCGAUAAUUACGUGAGAACAGCGAGGAAAAGAAAAAUGAUCCAAGUAACCUACGCCGGAUGAAGAAGGUCGAGGGUCCAAAUAAGCUCUCGAAAUUUUCGCAAUUUUCAAACUCUUCGUUUCGAGCACGUCAUUCCAUCGUUAGUGGAAACAUACCAGGUACCAUUAAAAUCCAAAGCAAUGAGCACGGUAGAAAUUGAAGUUAAGUCCCUUUGCCUCUAGACACUGCCUCUCCACCUUAGGUGAAUCUGUAUAAGGGUGCGGGGCUUCGUAGCCUCCGACGCUCAGUCUCUCUCCGUCGCUCCAACGGACAACAGACCAGCCGAGCACGGCGAUGGGGCAGGGAAGCGACUACUUAAAGUUGGCGGAAAGUUUGAUUCGGCAGCAAAGUUAACUCAGUUAAGUUCUCCGCUCCUAAAGCGAAACUUUGCUUCUCUCUUGCCCCCCCCUCACACUCUUUACUUACACACUUGUACAAGGGAGCUCGCGCGCGCUUUCUGCAGGCCUCGGUCCUACAUCUUUCUCGAACGGCUAGUAUACGCUUUGGGAAUUGCUUAUAUACAAGACGCGAGUAUUUUGAUUAUACGAAUAAUUAAUAAUUCAUAAGGACAUUUCACAACCGACAUUCGUACACGAGUAACCGUUUAUCAAUUCAACUGAACCAGCAUACGUAAUAUCCGUAUGGCGAUCGCCAGCAUCGAGUAAUUAAUUCAAGGCGUGACGUGUCGCCGAAAAAGAAAGCAAUUUGAAUUAGUCGAAGAAUUAAAUGAAGAUACUACCGGAAACUCGAUGAUAAUUUAACGAAUCGAACGGAUGGCUGGAGACAAAGUUUCACGAAACUCAGGGACGCCCCAAGUACCGUUUACUCGCCGCGAGUCCCCAAAAGAAACCGGUCGCAGUAAUUACGAGAAAUGUACCGAGGGAAUUUAAAAUAAAAAUAUUAAAAAAAUAAAGACGUUCGCAAAGGCCCCUGGGGCAGUUGAGAUCCCUGCAGAGGCCGACGAUUCGUUAAUAGCCACUGGUGAAAUUUACCGGUGCCAUAUUGCAUACGUGGACUCUCGAAUUUGUUUGGAAGUUCAAAGAAGCGUCCUUGAAUAACGGCCAAUACUGCAUGUGCGUGUCUCAUACACUUCGGGGUAUUCAAUCUCAGAAAGAAAGAGAUUAGUGAACAGUGAAGCUUCUAAAUCUACCAAACGUAACGAGCGCGGCCUUGGACACCGCUCCCAUGUCAUGAAACUAACAAAACAGCACGCCACACUCGAAUACGACUAUUUCACGAAGUAACGAUUGGUUCGAGCCAUAUAUACUGUUACACCGGAAAACCCGAUCGUGAGAUAGAGAGAGAUGCGGUACAACAGCAGAGAGAGAGGGAGAAAAUCACGGAUACCCCACAGCCACGAAGGGACAGCGAGUGUAGACAGAGAGAAGUUUUACAUGCGUCAAAGUUCCUUUGAGAUACGCCAGGUUUCGGCAGGGUUCAGAAAGCACGUUAGUAGUCCGUCGACACGACGGCAUCACGGAGUAGCAUAUACGAAGCAACUUGAGCGUACAUAAACGUGAGUGAUAUAUAUGUAUACAUAUAUCCUGGCAACUAGAUGGUGUAUAUCUGCAUAUACGCUUGCAGUAUAUCAAGCGUAUAUCAAGCGUGUGUUCUAAUACAAAGAGAAGUGAGCAUAGACCGCCGUUACAGGGGCGCAUGCAGACACAGGUUAACCCGCGGUGCGUAGCGGCAGGAGAACGAGGAGAGGGAGGUGGAGUAGUAGUUUCAUGGAGUUUAGUUCCUCGGUAGGAUGGCAUCUUGACUCCUAGUAGUGGAGUGUGGCAAGCAAUGGCCGGCCCGAUCGAUGUCUCGGCAACUUCCCACCCUCGACAGCUUCCCACCGCCUCUCGCCUAAACUCCCUCGACAAUCCGCCCCUGCUUCUGUACCCCGAACUAAACCCUGGAGCUGCUUACUGCUCGUGUCUGUUUACAAUGGCGAUGCGCUACCCCCAUUAUACGUGGCUCGUACUUAACCUUCGGACGACUAUGAGAACGAUGUUCAGGCGUGCAUGAGGAGAAGGAAACUCCUCGCGUUAUGGAAAAGUUUCACCGGUCCUCUUUUGUUACCCAACCUACUUAUGAUGUAGAUGUCAGGAAAAAAUUCUCUCUGAUAUAACCGCUCGCUACCGAGUCUCGACGAUGAUUGCCGUUACGAUUAUGUACUCGUGCAAUUUUCUCACCCGUUAUUUCAGCUACGUACUUACGUGCUAUAGAUUCGUAUAUAUACAGAUAUACUAUAUCGUACACAUUCCAGCUUGGUAAAUCAGGCUCGCUUGGCGUACCGUGGGCUGACGAUGAUGUCUCCCUUAACGAAGUCACCCUCUGACUUUGGUCCUCGUUUCAAGAAACUUAUACGGUGGCAUCCUCCCCCCUAUCUCUCGCUCUUCA